rnacentral:rRNA from 1 species
AGAGUUUGAUCCUGGCUCAGGAUGAACGCUGGCGGCGUGCCUAAUACAUGCAAGUCGAACGCUUUGUGCUUAAUUGAUAUGACGAGCUUGCUCUGAUUUGAUUUUUUGAUUUCAAAGAGUGGCGAACGGGUGAGUAACACGUGGGUAACCUACCUCUUAGCAGGGGAUAACAUUUGGAAACAAGUGCUAAUACCGUAUAAUACCAGCAACCGCAUGGUUGUUGGUUGAAAGAUGGUUCUGCUAUCACUAAGAGAUGGACCCGCGGUGCAUUAGCUAGUUGGUAAGGUAAUGGCUUACCAAGGCAAUGAUGCAUAGCCGAGUUGAGAGACUGAUCGGCCACAAUGGGACUGAGACACGGCCCAUACUCCUACGGGAGGCAGCAGUAGGGAAUCUUCCACAAUGGGCGCAAGCCUGAUGGAGCAACGCCGCGUGUGUGAUGAAGGGUUUCGGCUCGUAAAACACUGUUAUAAGAGAAGAACGGCACUGAGAGUAACUGUUCAGUGUGUGACGGUAUCUUACCAGAAAGGAACGGCUAAAUACGUGCCAGCAGCCGCGGUAAUACGUAUGUUCCAAGCGUUAUCCGGAUUUAUUGGGCGUAAAGCGAGCGCAGACGGUUAUUAAGUCUGAAGUGAAAGCCCUCAGCUCAACUGAGGAAUUGCUUUGGAAACUGGAUGACUUGAGUGCAGUAGAGGAAAGUGGAACUCCAUGUGUAGCGGUGAAAUGCGUAGAUAUAUGGAAGAACACCAGUGGCGAAGGCGGCUUUCUGGACUGUAACUGACGUUGAGGCUCGAAAGUGUGGGUAGCAAACAGGAUUAGAUACCCUGGUAGUCC